AGCUUGCUCUUGGGUGACGAGUGGCGGACGGGUGAGUAAUGUCUGGGGAUCUGCCCGAUAGAGGGGGAUAACCACUGGAAACGGUGGCUAAUACCGCAUAACGUCGCAAGACCAAAGAGGGGGACCUUCGGGCCUCUCACAUCGGAUGAACCCAGAUGGGAUUAGCUAGUAGGCGGGGUAAUGGCCCACCUAGGCGACGAUCCCUAGCUGGUCUGAGAGGAUGACCAGCCACACUGGAACUGAGACACGGUCCAGACUCCUACGGGAGGCAGCAGUGGGGAAUAUUGCACAAUGGGCGCAAGCCUGAUGCAGCCAUGCCGCGUGUAUGAAGAAGGCCUUCGGGUUGUAAAGUACUUUCAGCGGGGAGGAAGGCGACGGGGUUAAUAACCCUGUCGAUUGACGUUACCCGCAGAAGAAGCACCGGCUAACUCCGUGCCAGCAGCCGCGGUAAUACGGAGGGUGCAAGCGUUAAUCGGAAUUACUGGGCGUAAAGCGCACGCAGGCGGUCUGUUAAGUCAGAUGUGAAAUCCCCGGGCUUAACCUGGGAACUGCAUUUGAAACUGGCAGGCUUGAGUCUUGUAGAGGGGGGUAGAAUUCCAGGUGUAGCGGUGAAAUGCGUAGAGAUCUGGAGGAAUACCGGUGGCGAAGGCGGCCCCCUGCACAAAGACUGACGCUCAGGUGCGAAAGCGUGGGGAGCAAACAGGAUUAGAUACCCCUGGUAGUCCACGCCCGACACGAUGUCGACUUGGAGGUUGUUCCCUUUGAGGAGUGGCUUCCAGGAGUGGCUUCCGGAGCUAACGCGUUAAGUCGACCGCCUGGGGAGUACGGCCGCAAGGUUAAAACUCAAAUGAAUUGACGGGGGCCCGCACAAGCGGUGGAGCAUGUGGUUUAAUUCGAUGCAACGCGAAGAACCUUACCUACUCUUGACAUCCAGAAUUGCAGAGAUGCUUGUGCCUUCGGGAACUGAGACAGGUGCUGCAUGGCUGUCGUCAGCUCGUGUUGUGAAAUGUUGGGUUAAGUCCCGCAACGAGCGCAACCCUUAUCCUUUGUUGCCAGCGAUUCGGUCGGGAACUCAAAGGAGACUGCCGGUGAUAAACCGGAGGAAGGUGGGGAUGACGUCAAGUCAUCAUGGCCCUUACGAGUAGGGCUACACACGUGCUACAAUGGCGCAUACAAAGAGAAGCGACCUCGCGAGAGCAAGCGGACCUCACAAAGUGCGUCGUAGUCCGGAUCGGAGUCUGCAACUCGACUCCGUGAAGUCGGAAUCGCUAGUAAUCGUGGAUCAGAAUGCCACGGUGAAUACGUUCCCGGGCCUUGUACACACCGCCCGUCACACCAUGGGAGUGGGUUGCAAAAGAAGUAGGUAGCUUAACCUUCGGGAGGGCGCUUACCACU
rnacentral:rRNA from 1 species